GCACGAAAUUGUGUCUCCCCCAAAAAGCAACCAAAGAAUAUCCAAUCAAUAUGAGCGAAGCAAAGAACCUCAUGACCACCUUCGGCAUCCUGGCCUUCCUGCUCUUCUGCCUGUACCUCAUCUAUGCAGUAUUGUAGACUGCCAGGGCCACUAGGAGGUCCUUUGAGCAGGAAUAUGGGCAACCAACAACAACAACAACAAAACCUAUCAAAAUGAAUGAAGCCAGAAGUUUGUUCACCACCUUCCUGAUCCUGGCCUUCUUGCUGUUUCUGCUCUAUGCCUUCUACGAAGCCGCUUUCUAAACAACCCCACCCAUCAACCCAAUCAAUCAUCAAUCAAUCAAUCAAGGAUAGCUUACAUGUUGAAUUUCAAUUCCAAGCCAAAUCAUGAACAACUUGUGGCCUAGGAGGAGUUUUAGGACCUUACGCGUUUAAGAUGUUAGCAUUUAAUGGAUUUCUACUAGUAACCUAAGCCAGAUGACGUCAAAGCAACCAGCUGCCAAAUGUCAGGCCCCGCGAUUAGUUUAGCACAGUUCUUAGGGGGCUCGCCGUCUUCAGCAUCAGCAUUAUCGUUCUGGUGAUGAUGAUGAUGAUGAUCAUGAUGAAUGGUCCACCCAUGCUGAGAGGGCUGCGCUAGAUUUGUUCCAUCUUCGCGGCGGUGCAAGAUCGAUUCAUCCUCAAGGCUCUGUCGGCCACGGCGUCAUCUGUUCUAAUCAUAAAUUUAAUUUUAUGAAUUCUUUUUCGUUUUCGUUUCGCAAUGGAAUUGACUUAAUUUGCAAUUUAUAGACCAUGAUGCACAGCAGCAAGAACAACAGCCACAGCCAUCAAUAAGAACAUUCAAGAAUUUGGUUAUUAUUUCAUUGUUAAACCACAAAUUUAUUUCGCAUUCGUAUUUAGUAAGACUUACAUAAUGUAUAACUGCAUUUUACUUGACUUUUCUUUAAUUUAUUGUGAAUAACAAAGCAAAUGCACAUGCAACAAAACAACAAAAGCAACAACAACAACAGCAACCUACUGCAGG